GAAGACAAAAGUACUGCAAACUGCUGCAAAACUAGAUGUUAUGAGGCGUCAAACUGAGGGAUGCAGUGAAGAUUUGAAAGAUGUGAUGCUGCUUCUGCUUGCCUACUUUGAUGAAAAGGAAGAGGUGAUGUGAGGUAUGUGGAAGACUCUUGCCUUGUUGAAGAUGUGGAGGUAGACAAGUUACCAGCAACACCCUGCAUCAUUGUCUGUGGCUCAUCCUGCUACACAUCAAAACUAUUCAUGCUGAGCAUCGACCAAAAGAUUACAACUCAGCACAUUUCUACACUCAUCGCAGCAAUGUGGAUGAUGUUUGGCAGUUACUACUGUUUUAACAUCCAUUACCCUUUGGAACUGGGUUCUACUCUUGAGUUCAUGCAAAGGUGCUUCUUCAGCAUAAACCCAGAGAAGGGCACCAAAGUUGAAUCAAGGAAAAACAAAAAACAGCUCCCAGUGAACCCCAGAGUCCUUACACUUAUAGCAGACCUUGCUGAUCACGAAUGGAGAGCAGAUUAAGGAUGGACAGAUGUCUGAAGAUUCCGUUGACAGUGAUAUUGCUUUUCAAAUUUGAGUUAUCUGGAUUUACACUGGAAGAUGCUUGAACUUUUAAGGUUGAAAAUGUCUUGCUUUACUCUAAAAAACCUUUUUUUUGUUGCCAAAAUACUGUUUUAUACUAUACCAGUAAUGAUUUGAGCAGCUAACAAAACAUUGCGAGUACCUAAAAUAAAGUGUCACCUGUUCAUUAAUAUUUAGUAAUAGUAUCUAUACAUAUAUUUUUUUUUCUUGGAUUUCCUUAUUUGACCUGUUUGAAAAAGGAAUUUCUAGAGUGUGUUAAAAGAGUAGUUCAAUUAUAUUUACAUUACUAAUGAUUUACUUACCCAUAGGCCAUCCAGGAUGUACAUCAGAACAAAAAAUAUUUUUUUUUAGGAAAGUUAAGAUUGAUGAUUAAGGUUGAUUAAGAUUCAUUUUAAUUUCUCUUCUGAUGAAGACAGUAGGUUUAAUACAAUUUGAAUGGAUUAAAACAAUUUCUACAUUUAAGUUUUCCUACAGGAUGUUUUGUUUUGUACAUCUUAGAUUGUACGAAAGCUGUAUGUUUAUGCUUUUGAAGCAUUUGGUUCAUGAUUAAUACAUUCUGUUAAUAGAAUGGUGUGUGGUCUUGUUCAGGUCAUUGAAUGUGUUUCUUUCUGGUAAAGACUGUAAUCAUUUUAAAUGUUGAAAUGCAUUGUUUUACUACUGUUUUAAGGAGAAGAUGGUUGUUCGAAGUAUGUAUUUACUUCGAAUGUUUACUUCUUAUGUU